AUUGAACGCUGGCGGCAGGCUUAACACAUGCAAGUCGAGCGGAGAUGAGGUGCUUGCACCUUAUCUUAGCGGCGGACGGGUGAGUAAUGCUUAGGAAUCUGCCUAUUAGUGGGGGACAAAAUUCCGAAAGGGAUGCUAAUACCGCAUACGUCCUACGGGAGAAAGCAGGGGAUCUUCGGACCUUGCGCUAACAGAUGAGCCUAAGUCGGAUUAGCUAGUUGGUGGGGUAAAGGCCUACCAAGGCGACGAUCUGUAGCGGGUCUGAGAGGAUGAUCCGCCACACUGGGACUGAGACACGGCCCAGACUCCUACGGGAGGCAGCAGUGGGGAAUAUUGGACAAUGGGGGGAACCCUGAUCCAGCCAUGCCGCGUGUGUGAAGAAGGCCUUAUGGUUGUAAAGCACUUUAAGCGAGGAGGAGGCUACUGAGACUAAUACUCUUGGAUAGUGGACGUUACUCGCAGAAUAAGCACCGGCUAACUCUGUGCCAGCCGCCGCCGUAACAC
rnacentral:rRNA from 1 species